UUGUCUCAAAGAUUAAGCCAUGCAUGUCUCAGUACGAGCCGCAUUAAGGUGAAACCGCGAAAGGCUCAUUAAAUCAGUUAUGGUUCCUUAGAUCGUACCCACAUUUACUUGGAUAACUGUGGUAAUUCUAGAGCUAAUACAUGCAAACAGAGCUCCGACCGGAGACGGAAGGAGCGCUUUUAUUAGAUCAAAACCAAUCGGUGUCGGGCUUGCUCGUCACCGUACACCUUGGUGACUCUGAAUAACUUUUUGCUGAUCGCACGGUCUCGCACCGGCGACGCAUCUUUCAAAUGUCUGCCUUAUCAACUGUCGAUGGUAGGUUCUGCGCCUACCAUGGUUGUAACGGGUAACGGGGAAUCAGGGUUCGAUUCCGGAGAGGGAGCCUGAGAAACGGCUACCACAUCCAAGGAAGGCAGCAGGCGCGCAAAUUACCCACUCCCGGCACGGGGAGGUAGUGACGAAAAAUAACGAUACGGGACUCAUCCGAGGCCCCGUAAUCGGAAUGAGUACACUCUAAACCCUUUAACGAGGAUCAAUUGGAGGGCAAGUCUGGUGCCAGCAGCCGCGGUAAUUCCAGCUCCAAUAGCGUAUAUUAAAGUUGUUGCGGUUAAAAAGCUCGUAGUCGAAUUUGUGUCUCGCGCCGCCGGUUCAUCGCUCGCGGUGUUUAACUGGCGUGUUCGCGGGACGUCCUGCCGGUGGGCGCAGCCCUUUCGGGGGCGGCCCAACUUCAAAUCCCACCGCGGUGCUCUUCACCGAGUGUCGAGGUGGGCCGGCACGUUUACUUUGAACAAAUUAGAGUGCUUAAAGCAGGCUAAAACUUCGCCUGAAUACUGUGUGCAUGGAAUAAUGGAAUAGGACCUCGGUUCUAUUUUGUUGGUUUUCGGAACUCCGAGGUAAUGAUUAAUAGGAACGGAUGGGGGCAUUCGUAUUGCGACGUUAGAGGUGAAAUUCUUGGAUCGUCGCAAGACGGACAGAAGCGAAAGCAUUUGCCAAAAACGCUUUCAUUGAUCAAGAACGAAAGUUAGAGGUUCGAAGGCGAUCAGAUACCGCCCUAGUUCUAACCAUAAACGAUGCCAGCUAGCGAUCCGCCGACGUUCCUCCGAUGACUCGGCGGGCAGCUUCCGGGAAACCAAAGCUUUUGGGUUCCGGGGGAAGUAUGGUUGCAAAGCUGAAACUUAAAGGAAUUGACGGAAGGGCACCACCAGGAGUGGAGCCUGCGGCUUAAUUUGACUCAACACGGGAAACCUCACCAGGCCCGGACACCGGAAGGAUUGACAGAUUGACAGCUCUUUCUUGAUUCGGUGGGUGGUGGUGCAUGGCCGUUCUUAGUUGGUGGAGCGAUUUGUCUGGUUAAUUCCGAUAACGAACGAGACUYUAGCCUGCUAACUAGGCGUAUUCUCGACAUCUCAAAGGCCCCUCGGUUCGGCUCUCGAGUCGUUUCCGUGGGUGAUUUUUACUGUCGGGGUACAAAUAAUUYUUYUUAGAGGGACAGGCGGCUUCUAGCCGCACGAGAUUGAGCAAUAACAGGUCUGUGAUGCCCUUAGAUGUUYUGGGCCGCACGCGCGCUACACUGAAGGAAUCAGCGUGUYUUCCCUGGCCGAGCGGCCCGGGUAACCCGCUGAACCUCCUUCGUGCUAGGGAUUGGGGCUUGCAAUUGUUCCCCAUGAACGAGGAAUUCCCAGUAAGCGCGAGUCAUAAGCUCGCGUUGAUUACGUCCCUGCCCUUUGUACACACCGCCCGUCGCUACUACCGAUUGAAUGAUUUAGUGAGGUCUUCGGACCGGUGCGCGGUAGCGUAACCACCUCCCCGAUGUU
rnacentral:rRNA from 1 species